UCAUCCGAUGACUGAAAGUAAGUAUAGGUCUUUUAAACCUAAAAUAGUAGUUUAACCUCUACUUCUGGUGAA
rnacentral:tRNA from 1 species